UGGACGCCAGUCUGCAUGGAGCCGACCUUGAAAUACCACCCUUUAAUGUUUGAUGUUCUAACGUGGACCCGUAAUCCGGGUUGCGGACAGUGUCUGGUGGGUAGUUUGACUGGGGCGGUCUCCUCCUAAAGAGUAACGGAGGAGCACGAAGGUUGGCUAAUCCUGGUCGGACAUCAGGAGGUUAGUGCAAUGGCAUAAGCCAGCUUGACUGCGAGCGUGACGGCGCGAGCAGGUGCGAAAGCAGGUCAUAGUGAUCCGGUGGUUCUGAAUGGAAGGGCCAUCGCUCAACGGAUAAAAGGUACUCCGGGGAUAACAGGCUGAUACCGCCCAAGAGUUCAUAUCGACGGCGGUGUUUGGCACCUCGAUGUCGGCUCAUCACAUCCUGGGGCUGAAGUAGGUCCCAAGGGUAUGGCUGUUCGCCAUUUAAAGUGGUACGCGAGCUGGGUUUAGAACGUCGUGAGACAGUUCGGUCCCUAUCUGCCGUGGGCGCUGGAGAACUGAGGGGGGCUGCUCCUAGUACGAGAGGACCGGAGUGGACGCAUCACUGGUGUUCGGGUUGUCAUGCCAAUGGCACUGCCCGGUAGCUAAAUGCGGAAGAGAUAAGUGCUGAAAGCAUCUAAGCACGAAACUUGCCCCGAGAUGAGUUCUCCCUGAGACUUAGAGUCUCCUGAAGGAACGUUGAAGACGACGACGUUGAUAGGCCGGGUGUGUAAGCGCAGCGAUGCGUUGAGCUAACCGGUACUAAUGAACCGUGAGGCUUAACCUU
rnacentral:rRNA from 1 species